UACGAAGGGUGCAAGCGUUACUCGGAAUUACUGGGCGUAAAGCGUGCGUAGGUGGUUUGUUAAGUCUGUUGUGAAAGCCCCGGGCUCAACCUGGGAAUGGCAAUGGAUACUGGCAGGCUAGAGUGCGGUAGAGGGUAGUGGAAUUCCCGGUGUAGCGGUGAAAUGCGUAGAGAUCGGGAGGAACACCGGUGGCGAAGGCGGCUCGCUGGGCCAGUUCUGACACUCAUCCGCGAAAGCGUGGGGAGCAAACAGG
rnacentral:rRNA from 1 species